CAGCUGCCGUCGGGCUCUGCGAAGACGGAUGGGGCGAGCGCCAGAGUCAGCUCCAGCUGUCAGCGCCGCCUGCGCCUGACCCCUCCUCCUCCACCACCAUCGGUUCCCCCACGUGUGUCCGUCUAUCUCCGCCUGGCCUCCGGUGAAGGAAACCAUGGCAUCCAGCGAAGAGGGCAGCGGAGCCGGCAACGGCUCCUUGGAAGAGAAGGAGAACGGCAAGAAGGCCGUUCGGCGUCGCGGCGCCGUGACUACAGCCUGGCUCAUCUUCUUCAACAUCACCAUGACGGCGGGGUGGCUGGUUUUGGCUAUCGCCAUGAUGCGAUUUUACAUGGAAAAAGGAACAUACAAAGGCUUAUACAAAAACAUUCAAAAGACACUUAAAUUUUUCCAGACGUUUGCUUUGCUUGAGAUAGUCCAUUGUGCAGCUGGAGUAGUGCACACUUCUGUGCUUGUGACUGGGGUCCAAGUGAGUUCCAGAAUCUUCAUGGUGUGGUUUAUUACACAUAGUGUAAAGCAGAUCCAGAAUGAGGAGAGUGUUAUUCUUUUUCUGGUCGUAUGGACUGUGACAGAGAUUACUCGAUAUUCCUUCUACACAUUCAAUAUGCUGAACCACUUGCCGUACUUCAUAAAAUGGGCCAGGUACAAUUUUUUCAUUAUCUUAUAUCCAGUGGGAGUUGUUGGUGAGCUUCUGACAAUUUAUGCUGCCUUACCCUAUGUGAAGAGAUCGGGCAUGUUUUCAGUGAGACUUCCCAACAAGUAUAAUGUCUCUUUUGACUACUACUAUUUCCUUCUCAUCGUCAUGGCGUCCUAUGUACCAUUAUUUCCACAACUGUACUUUCACAUGCUUCGUCAAAGAAGAAAAGUGCUUCAUGGUGAAGUGAUUAUAGAAAAGGAUGAUUAAAAGAACCCUUUUAAUCAUGGUGCUUUUUUCAGAGUAACAAACCAAAUCUAUAACGUGUUGCACGAGUCCAAAUGUGAAAUCAUGGAACAAGAAGAACCAGUGCACAAAACCAAAGUAGACUAUAUUAUUUAGUGACACUAAUAUUUUCAGACUUCACUUUUCAAGUUUGCGCUCAUUUUUGUACCCUCUUCUCCCCCCCCCCCAGUUGGAAGAGGCAGCCAAAAAAGCCCCAGUGUGUGUAGAUAACUACACACAGCGCUUCAGAUCCUGGCCUGUCUUCCGUUCCUAUCAUUUUGUUCCUGUUAAUAUCUUCUUAAAAGAAUUCAUUAAAUGUUGUACUUCUGCGCACAUUUUAUAAAUUCAAAGCUUAUUUUAAUUAGGAUUAUUUCAUUGAUUGCAUAGAAUUUGAAUAGUUUUUAAAAGCAUCUCAUAGAAACUAACAAAACUGUGUUGUUCGCUGUAAGCAGAGGACAUGGAAAUGGGCUCGGUUGUCAAUGCUGCAGUGAUUUUAAAAAAACCGUCCUGUGUAAAAGAAUUCAUUACUAGAUUCUGCAAUAUCUUCCAUGCAAAAGCAUAUUACUGGAUCAUAGAAUAACACUCUAGUUUAGUUUUCAAUUGCCCAGGUAAUUUUAGGGCAAGGUAUUUUGUUCAUUUUUUAAAAUGUAUUUUUGCACAUGAACAAUUAAAAGUAGAAAAGUAUACGAAAACUUGGUCACCCUUUGCCUCUAUGCAUUGACAAUCUGUGAUAGAUAAAACUUUGGUUUAUUUGUCACUAAUGGACUGUUUAGCAGUUUCUUCUUAUUUAUUUGAAUCUUGUCAGUUAAAUACUUGAUGGGAGGAUCCAAAAAAUCACACAACUAAUAUUCCCGUAGGAACUUUGGGCUUAACACUUUUCAAAAAGCUGCCAUCAAUCUAACAUAGAAAACCUUUUGAAAGACAAGGUUUUCUGCUCAAAAACUUGUGGUGGGGUUAAUCUAUCUUGGUACACCCAAGUAAUUGUGCAUGUAUUAUGCAGCUGUUUGGGUCCUGGGCUUUAACACAGAACAAUGUAAAGCUAUGAUCCAUAAAGCAUAUGGAAAAGGGAAUUCAGGGAAGGAUAAAAGACUUGAAUAUCUUGGCAUGAGGGCUUCCCAUCUCUUCCACCUCCACCUGCUAUCUAUCUAUCUGUCUGUCUGUCUGUCUGUCUGUCAUUUGAUUUAUAUCCUACCCUUCCUCUCAGUAGGAGCCCAGGGUGUCAGUCUAGUCCCACAGAUCCUGAAAUCUUACUCCAGAGGGUCAGGGGAUACUCCAGAGCAGCCUUUCCCAACUGGUGUGCCUCCAGAUGUUGUUGGACCACAAAUCCCAUCAGCCUCAGCCAACAUUGCCAAUGCCUGAGGCUGAUGGGAGUUGUGGUCCAACAACAUCUGGAGGCACACCUGUUGGGAAAGGCUGCUCCAGAGCAUCUGGACUGGGGGAGCUGCCAAUAGAUACAGUAUGUGUGGUGGUGGUGGUAGUGGAAUUGGUGAUCCCUCCCUGCAUGAAUAGACAUGCUUUCUGCUUGUGCUGCAAGAUUUUUUGGAUCCAAACCAUGAUGUGAUUAGAGCUUGUUGUAAAUUCUUUCUUCAAAUAUACUUGAUUUUAUGUGUCAGGUCCUUCCAAAUUGUGUAUUUACAAGGCUUUAGUUGGAAAAAAUGCAGCUUUUUACUGUAUACUUGUUAAUCAUAUGUUUGCUACUAUAAGUGCUUUUCUGGCAAUACAACUUUAUUUUAGAGGGGGAGAUUUCUACAAGGAAAUUAUCAAAGGUGCUCUAACAAUUUUUUCAUGUUACAUAAAGCUUUAAAAUAAAGUACCAUACAAAAUGAUUUGGUCAUGUUUAGAUUAAAGUGUUUCAAGUUGCAUCAAUUAUAUUUUUGCAAUUACUGUUUAAGCCUGAUUUUCCUUUUAAAAACUUCAAACUAUUUCUUACAAAAUAUCUAGGCAGCUCUUUGGUGCAUACGUCUGAAUUAUUACAGAGAAGAACUGUAUGGGAAGAUUUAUUUUUUUCCAUGGCUACUGUGGUUACCUUUUUUCUAGCAUUUUUAACUUCCUAAUUCCUAAGUAUAUUAUGUGCCUCAUCCUGUAAUUCUUGCUGAUCUAAAUUGGAAUUGCUGCAGCUGUCCUGGUUCUCAUGUAUGCUGUCGUUAAACCUGAGGAUGUUGUCGUACAGUAAACAAGGCUUACAUUCUGCAAUGUGCUGUUGCAUGUGUUAAACACCAAGCACAUUCCCAUGGUGCAGAUUUCAGAAGCUCUCAAGAAUGAUUCCUUCCUCCAAUAGUAACCUUUACAUGUUUGAUAUAACCUUCACUUAAUGGGCCAUGAAUAUUUAUCUUCCUUUUCUCAAAUAAAAAUCUC